rnacentral:lncRNA from 10 species
CUUUCCUGGGCAAAGGCAAGAACCCUUGCAGACUAAACUCCACCUUGGGGCUCACCUGCCCCACAUCAGAACUACCAUAAGAUCCAGCAAUCCCACUCCUGGACAUUUAUCCAAAGGAAAGGAAUCGGUAUAUCAAACCAAUAUCUGCAACCCCAUGUUUAUUGACAAUAGUCAAGACGUGGAAUCAACCUAGGUGUCCAACAGCAGAUGACUGGAUAAAAAACGUGGUAUAUACACACAGUGGAAUACUAGUCAUCUGUAAAAAAAAAUGAAGUCCUGUCAUUCAUGGCAAAACGGAUGGAACUGGAGGACAUUAUGGGUGAAGUCCCACAGUAGGCUGCAAGCCGAGGAACAAGGAAGCCAGUCUGAGUCCCAAAACCUCAAAAGUAGGGAAGCCGACAGUGCAGCCUUCAGUCUGGGGCCAAAGGCCCGAGAGCCCCUGGCAAACCACUGGUGUAAAUCCAAGAGUCCAAAACUGAAGAACUUGGAGUCCGGUAUUCAAGGGCAGGAGGCAUCCAGCGUGGGAGAAAGAUGAAGGCCGGAAGACUCAGCCAGUCUCGUCCUUCCGCAUUUCUCUGCCUGCUUUUAUCCCAGCCACACUGGCAACUGAUGAGAUGAUGCCCACCCAGAUUGAGGGUGGGUCUGCCUCUCCCAGGUCCACUGACUCAAAUGUGAAUCUCCCUUGGCAACACUCUCACGGACGCACCCAGGAACAAUACUCUGCAUCUUUCAAUCCAAUCAAGUUGACAAUAGUAACCAUCACAUUAAGUAACCAAUUAGUGAAAACUCAUAAUGAAUCCAUUAUGCUAAUGAACAUCAAGGAUUAUGUUAUGUUCAUAACAUAACAUGUUACGAAAAUAACUAUAUUUUCUUUAGAAACUGGUGACAGGAGUAGCAUUGUUUAGAUGUGUGAAUGCUCCUGCUGCCUGGCUCCUGGGAAACAAGUUUCCCAUGUGGAAUUCUGUAUUCAGUCUGCAGUGACAUCACACGUCAGUUGCCUCUGCACACUUGUGAGAGAACGGGAGUGGAAAAGGCACUCAACACUUCAGCCAUGAGAGGAAACCUGUUUGAACUAAG